UUGCUGCAAGGCAUAAACGAGUUAACAGAAAAAAAAAAGAAAAGUUCAUAUCCCAAGCCAACUCUAGGCAGAAAAGCCAAAUCUUUCUAACUGAAUCAAAAUAGAAGUGAUGAUAUAAUAUCAAUCUCAAACUCUUACGGCUGCAUGAUAUCGAUACAAAUGCUCCAAAGAAAAGCUCUCAAUAUUUUGCUUUAUGCUAUCUUUGUACAGAAAAUCGAUUAUCAAGAUUGGAGAAAAAGAAAAGAUGGGAAUGAAGAAGGCAGCGGAACUGGAUUUAAAAGACCAAUGAAAGUAUUCAAACCAAGUAGACGGAGACGGAGAGAGACAUACAAAAAGAUCAAAUCUCUACUGGCGAGAUGACCUGAGCUUGAGAUAGACGGAGUCAGGGAGAGAAACAGGGCAUUCAACAGUGAGAGCUUCGGAUUUUCAGAUUUCAAACUCAGUUCAGGUCAAACAUAAACGGGCCGAAGUCAUUGUUUGUGUUACCAACGGUUCAUUCAGUUCCAUUCCAAUUCCCGCCUACAUCAUAAAUAUCAACCGUUAAACUUAUCUCGCCUCCCAUUCUCAUUUUUUGUUGAAUGAAAGAAUAUUUAAAAGUAACAAAUAUUUUUAUAAAAUAUUUUUUUAUCAAUAAAUCAUUUGUAAAAAAAAAUAUUUCUUACCUUUUCUAAAUAUGACUUCACAACCGUCACCUCAAGAAAGCGUCUAGACAAGACUAAUGCAUCUUUCCUUUAAGUUUGUGUCGUUGUCUUUUUUGUGCUGUUUGAGUUUUUCCGCAGGUAAGGCCUCUUUUCUCCUGUGUUUCAUUGUACCGAACUAUUCUUCAAACGUUGAACCUAAAUAAAUUGAUGAGAAGAAUUCACUGUUUCACAAAUAAUUAUUCCUUACUUAAUUCAGCAUAUUUCUUUUGAAAUUAGUCUCCCAGAAAUCUACAUUUUUAAGAAAUAUAUCUUUUCUCCAAAAGAAAGAUAUAAUUUAGAUUUCAAAUUUCAAAAAAAUAUGCAUUUCCCUAAAAUAAAUUUAACAAUUAUCAUACAACUACAAUAAAAGCCCAAUGAAAAACAGUUUUUAGUUUACCUUUGUUUUGGUGUUCAAACAAAAAAAAAACAAAAGUUCACCCUAGUUUAUAUCGUUAUUAGCUCAGAAAUCACUACUAGAAGAAGAUGGUGAUGAUAACCGACCUUACAUUUGAUCUUGAAAAGAAGAUACUCGCCCUUGUUCCGAAAGAGUCUCGACCACAUGCAUGGCAAACUAUUUGCAAGAGAUGGUACGCUGUACGCCAAGAUCUACUCUCCAAGAAACACUUGGCUCGAACAGGAAGAGAGUUCAUCUUAUUGUUGAAUACUAAUGUUUUUUCAACAACCAUCAACCUCGAGGGAGUCCAUAACAACGUUGAUCCAGUGAUGGAGUUCGGAGGUAAACUUGGAUCUUUACAAGAUUCAAAUGAUUUACAAAUACAUGAUAUUUUCUACUGCAAGGGGUUAGUGCUAUGCACUAUGGUGGGAAAACAAAUGCUCGUGGUUUGCAACCCUAGUAACCGUGAAACUAGGUAUGUCGAACCUAGAACAAGUCAUGACUAUUUCGAAUAUGCUCUUGGAUACAAAGGCAGCAAGUCUUCUUGUGUUAAUAGCUACAAGAUCUUGAGGUAUUGUCGUUAUUUCGACAAGCAAGAGAUGCGUACGGUUUCUGAGUUUGAACUGUAUGACUUCAUGUCUGACUCAUGGAGGGUUUUAGAUGUUGAUGAGCACGAUUGGGAAAUAUCUGCUCGUGGCGUCUCUGUGAAAGGAAACACUUACUGGGUUGCUAAAGAGAAUGAAGACCAGUUCAUACUCAGUUUUGAUUUCACAAGAGAGAGAUUUGGGUUUCUCCCUCUUCCGUAUGAGAGUGCUGGUCCUGAAGAUUCCAUGAAUGAUGAGUACGACGAUACAGCUGUUCUGUCAGUUGUUAGAGACGAACAACUCUCAGUGUUACAUCAGUAUCUUCAUUUGGAUUUAUAUGAGAUGAAGAUAUGGGUGAGCAACAUGAUUGGCACCAAAAAGGUGUCGUGGGGCGAGUUCUUGGUAGUGGACGUGGUGUUGUUAAAUGUUGUUAGCUUCGUGGUUGACGAGGAGCAUAAAGUGGCAGUGUGUUGUAGUACAGGCAAGGAUGAUCCUAGUGAUGAUAGUGAAGAAGAAUGCACCAGCAUUUCAAUUAUUGGAAAGAAUAUACAAAGUCUUGUUUAUGAUGAAGGGGCUAUACAUGGAUCAUGGCCACAUCUCAUCAAUUACGUUCCAAGCCCGGUUCAAAUUUUAAGGAAGAGUACGCGCAAAAGCAAAAGGAAACGAACUACAAGGAGGUUAGCAAAUAUAUUAACUAAGUUCCUUUUUUUUUUGCUUUUCUUUGUUCUUAAUGAUCUUACUCAAAUACUUUAUAAUUGCAUUGGAUGCAUAUAGUGAAGAGUAGUUAUUAAGAAACUAAAUAUCAGCAUCUUAUAGCUUCAUAGAUUCAUAUACUUUGUUCUUAAAACGGAAUGCUCAAAAUCUCACACAAAGAGUUUUCUCUUGUAAGAAAAAAAUGCAUGUUUAAAAGACUGCUUAAGGUAUUUAUAUUAUUAUGUUUUGUGUUAGGGUUCUCUUUAACUGUUUCUGAGCUUUAACAGGCAUCAACCGGAGGAGGGCACUUCUGCAAGAAGCGUUGAGGAAACAAAAGUGACACCCAAAGCAAAACCUAAAGCACGUCGAAGUUUCUAGGGUUGCUUUGAAUGUCCCAAAAUGGUUUAGGAAAUGAAAGUGAAACCAGACCUUAAAGCACAUCGAAGUUCUCUUGCUGUUGCUUUGAAUGUCGCAAUGAUUUCUAUCUUUUCUUCUUUUUUUUUUUGGACAAUCCCAAAUGUUGUAAUAAAUUGAAUGCAUAUUGAAGUUUAUUAUCUUAUUUUUGUAAGAAUAACUUUAAUGAUUUCUAUUUGAACAAAAAAAAACUUUAAUGAUUUCUAUUAUGAAAUAAAAUAUGUCCAAGACCAUAUUCUAGUUUAAAUUAAUUCAACCCUAAUGAUUUCUAGAGAAGAUAGAAAGGACUAACCUUGAUCCAUGCUUGGAUGCAAUUCCACCAAUUGAUCUUCUCCCCAUUAACCUUCUCUUUGGUGAUUUCCUUGAUGGAUAAGAAAUCCCAAGCCUUCCUUAAUCUUUCCUUUUAAUAAAUAUUAUUGUUAUGUGUCUUAGAAAGACUCUCACUUACAUACGAACAAAAUUAUGUACGAGUCAUUUUUGUAUAUAAUCAAAGGAUGUGUCUUAACCAACACAACUCUUCCACACAACUACAACACAACACUUUGUUAUUUUAACCGCACAAGUGCAUUAUAAUGUAUCAUCAUAUGUAUAUUAAAUCUUACAGUAAUAUAUUCUAUUAUUAUUACUAUGACUAAGAAACAAACCUGCGCAUUCACACAAGUAUUUAAAUUCUUUACUAAAAAUUAAAAUAUUUUUUUUAAUGGCUAACAAAUUUUAUUAAUAAAAUUUAAGAUUACAAAGUCAACAUCCAGAACUUCCAAACAAAAUUAUUACAUAAGCAAAUAUAUGCGUCAUAUGCUGAGAAAAUAUAACAUGGAAAGUGAUUUUAACGAUGCUUUACAAAAGAAAGAAAAACCAAUCCGUUAUUUCCUUCCCAUGAUAUUAAUAAAAUGUAUACAUAUAAUCUACCAAAAAAUAAAACAAAACAGUAAUUUGUUAAUAAUUUCAUUUAAAAUUAUAAAUAAAAAGACCAAUGAUGACAUUAUAUUAAUGGAAAAAAAUCUUGGAUAUGAAGAGAAUAUUUAAUACAGUAAACAUUUUCACCUCUAUAAAUAUAAAAGAGUGUUCACAGAUUAAAUACAGAUGACUGGUAUAGAGAUAUAAUGUUAAAGAAAUAGAGUGUCUCACAAAUUGCAUAUAAUUUCUAUACAAUUUAUUAGGUUUGCCAAGAUAUAAUUAUCAAAGACAAAUGGUAAAUUAUAAGACACAUUUAAGAAAAAGAGAAUGAUGUGACUAUUCUAAGAUAUGUAACUACUUAGAUGAAUGGAUGCCUUAACUUUUAACUUUUAAUUUCAUUUUAAAAAUAAAUAAAUUUAAAACAUUUGAUUGAAAAGUUUCCAAUAGAAAAUCAUGAUAUGCAAAUUUAAUAGUAGGGAUCCCCAUACUUUAACACAAAAAUACGAAAGAAUUAUAUCAUGAUUAGGUAAAAAAACAGCAGGCGCAUGAAAUAUUAUAUAAUGGAUAAAGUGUCAAAUAUAAGUUACAGAGAGUUCUUUAAAAGAAAAAAAAUGUUUUUAAGAACUGAAUAAGGAAUAGUGAAAAAAUAAAGAAAUCACUAAAUUUUGAUCCGCGCUUCGAAAGCGCGAGUUUUGUUUGGGUUAUAAAUAAAAUUGGAUAUGAAUUAAUAUUUUAGGUAUUUUUCGUCUUUCGGCUUUUCGGGUACUUAAAAAAAAAAUUUGCUCCUAAAUAUCCAAAUUGAGCUAGACUAUUACGUAGCUAAAUUACAUGUAUUUUAGGGUUAUUUGAAUUAUGGAAUCGAACUGAUUCGAUUCCAAAAGGAACCAAACUGAACCAUAACCGGAAAUAUUUCAAAUACCUAAUUGGAUCCAAAUGUCGAGGACUCGAAGAAUUUGGAUUUAAAAGAAAAAAGAAAAAAAAAUUACACGACCUAAACCGAAAACCGAAUGAGUAUUCUAAGAUAUCCAGAAUUUAAAUAUAUAUUAGUUAUAUUUUAAAAUCAUGCCGAUUCAAGUAUUACAAACAUGACAAACAUGUUUUAGAUACAUUGGUUAUUUGGUUAUUUUCAGGUUCAUAUACAUCAGAACUGAACAUAACUGUAUCUGAGAGGACCGACUCGAACCCUACCCAAAAACUCAAAACUCUAAUACCCUAAAGAACUGACUCGUACCCAAAUGGGUACCCGGACGCUCAUUCAUAAACUUAGGCCUGGACGUUUGGGUCUUUAGGUUGGGUUUUGUCCAAUUUUUUCGGAUCUGGGUCCUUCGGAGCCUAGAAAUUUGGAUCCAAUAGGUAUUCGUAAAUUUUUUUUGGGUCUGGAUUGGUUCUGGUCUAUAAUUAAAAUACAUGUACAAUACUCUUAACUUUCCGAUCCAGAUUGAAUUCAUGUAUUUUCGGAUCUUAAAAGUACAUGAUAUACCCAAACCCUAUAAAAUUUAGUCGAAAUUUGUUAUAUAUAUUUAAAAUUCUACAAAAUAACUUAAAAUAAAUUAUUAAUAAUUAAAAUAAAAUAUUUUUAAACUCUAGAUUUUACAUUUUAAGCUUCAUAUUACUUGAAAAUGUCACAAAAUAAUAACAAAGAUUGUUUGUAAAAAGAUAUUUUAACUAAAUCAUAAAAUAAAUAUAGAAAAGAGAACAUAAAAAAUCAUAGUUUUGAAUAUUCAUGUUUUUAAGUCAGGUAUUAAUUGGUUUUUAUCAUGUCGAGUCUAUUUGUUUUUUUUUUGGUUCAGGUUCUUUUGGAUAGAAGAAAUUUUGAUCCAAUACAUACUUUAAAUUUUCGGUUUGGUUUCGGAUCGAAUAUUUUUGAAUCAGUUCCGGUUUCAGAUUUUUGGGUCUGGGUAAAAUGUCCAAGCCUGUUUGAUUUUGAUGAUACAAUAACUUCUUUAAAUUACAGAAAAUUUGUGGUAGUUUGAAGUUUAUAUGUGUAUAUUUUGGUCUAUUUCAUUUAUAAUGAAUAUGAGACUAUAUUUCACAUAUAUUUUAUGCUUCUGUAUAUUGAAAAAUAAUGAGAUCAUGCAAGUAUAUUAUUAGAGUUACGUUUACCAAAGUUGCUAGAUAUUUGGUAAGAUCCAGUAAUCUUAGUUUAAAUAAAAUCCAAAUCAUAUCUAAAGAUCAUAAUUAUAUUCAAAUAUUCAAUCAUCUGAAAAUUAUAAGAAAUUAUCUGAUCAAUACAAUGUUUUUAAACUCGACCCGGACACUGAACCGGACGACUUACCGGGUCGCUGGGUCACUGGAUCGACCGCGGGCGAACCGCGGGUUAAUAAAUGAAUUAAUUUUUUUAUAUAAUAAUAUAUCAGCUAUGUAAAUAAAAAUAUAAAAACUAAAGUUUAAUAUUUUCUUAAUGUUUUUAUAAACAUAAAAUAAUAGUUUGGAUAUGUCUAUUUUUAUGUUUAAUAACAUUUAGAAAAUACUUAACUUUAAUUUCUAUAUUUUUAUUUUCAUUUGAUAUACAAAAUAUUAAAAAAUAAUUUAGACUAUUUAUAAUUUUGUCUAAUAAGAUAAAAGUUAUGAAAUCUAUAAAAAAUCAAGACAUAAAAUUUAUAAAUAUUUAAAUGUUUAAUGUGAAUAAUAAAUUAAAUUUCAAAUAAAAUAAACCAAAAGUAAAAAAUUAUUAUAAUAAAUUAUCAAUAAAAGAAAUAAACUAACACCAAAUCACAUCAACUAGUUUUGGUUUUCUCUACCAUCGUUCACUUUAUUUUCUUCAAGUGGCAUAGUGAAAUCUUCACUAAAAUCUAAAAAUCACAAAUAUAAAACUGAAAAGGAAAAACCUAACUUUUUUUUGUCAGUAUAGAAAUUUUUAAUUGGAAAUUUAGAAUAUAAAACAUAAUUAAAAAAAUUUAAAAAAA